rnacentral:rRNA from 1 species
CCUACGGGCGGCAGCAGUGAGGAAUAUUGGUCAAUGGCCGGAAGGCUGAACCAGCCAUGCCGCGUGAAGGUCAGUGCCCUAUGGGCGUUAAACUUCUUUUGUGCGGGAGCAAUAAUGGUCACGUGUGGCCAGACGAGAGUACCGUACGAAUAAGCAUCGGCUAACUCCGUGCCAGCAGCCGCGGUAAUACGGGGGAUGCAAGCGUUAUCCGGAGUUAUUGGGUUUAAAGGGUGCGUAGGCUGUGAGGUAAGUCAGCGGUGAAAUGCCCCCGCUCAACGGGGUGAAGUGCCAUUGAUACUGCCUGGCUGGAAUGCGGAGGCCGUGGGAGGAAUGUGUGGUGUAGCGGUGAAAUGCAUAGAUAUCACACAGAACACCGAUUGCGAAGGCAUCUCACGAAUCCGCGAUUGACGCUGAUGCACGAAAGCGUGGGUAUCAAACAGGAUUAGAUACCCGGGUAGUC